rnacentral:rRNA from 1 species
UACGGAGGUCCCGAGCGUUGUUCGGAUUCAUUGGGCGUAAAGGGUGCGUAGGCGGCGGGGCAAGUCUGAUGUGAAAUCCCGGGGCUCAACCCCGGAACUGCAUUGGAUACUGCCUUGCUUGAGUACUGGAGAGGAGACUGGAAUUUACGGUGUAGCAGUGAAAUGCGUAGAUAUCGUAAGGAAGGCCAGUGGCGAAGGCGAGUCUCUGGACAGUUACUGACGCUGAGGCACGAAGGCCAGGGGAGCAAACGGG